rnacentral:lncRNA from 1 species
CUCAACGAUGAAAUUUUCAGGCCAAUAUUCCCUUUUAAGUCAAAACAUUCUGUACACAUGAAGCUGUAAGGAGGUAUGGGAAAACAUUGCCUUUUUGCGGUGUAUCUAGUAAGUGUACAUGGCAAAGCCUAUGUGGGGUAGAAAGGGCUCCUUAGCCGUAGUGAAGGCAAUCUAUCUAGGGAGAUAACCUAACAAUAAAUCACUCGGUCCGUAGCUUAGAAAUACUGGGUUGACGUCCAGCGGGAACAGCUUUGUUUCAUGGAGGAGGAAAGAUCUUCUUUAGUACUUGGUUGUACAAUGCUUUCCAAUGUGUGUAGUAGUGGCGCGCGCACACAUUAUUAGCCAUUUGAAAAGACUAUGAAAGUCUCGACCACGGUCGAACAAUGAUGAUGAUGAAAGCCUAUCCCUUAUUAAACUUAACCCACGAGAAGAGUUUUCACUCAGUUCAGUAAAUUAUUGAAAUACUCGUCAAUUAUGCAGUUCUCAUAGAUAAAAUUAGUGGGAGUGUUGCUUCUGAAAAUGUUUAGCCGUUGUUUUAAUAUUGUGUAAAAGGAAAAAAAAAAAACAUAUCAAAAGAAUAUUUAUACAUAAACUUGAUCGGUAAGCGUUUUAGCCACUGCCUAGUGGUGUGUUUAAUUUGUUCACUGAACUUCGCUGCGAAUUUCCACUUGUUUUUCAACUCCCCCUCUAAAUCACCAAAUAAGCGGGGCAGAAACCAGCCUUAUUUUUCAAAUCCUGGCAGCAACACAGAAGCUGGAAGCAAGAUAAUAAUCUAAUUCUACCCCUUAUCACAUUCAAGAAUAUAAACAUGUUUUUAAGCACAACACACGCAGAGUCAAAAAGAAACACUACCUUUCACCGGCACUGUCGUUCACGCAGUGCUCUCUCUCCCUAGCAUGAAGCUUCCUAUCUCGGACAUGUGAGCAUGCGCACAACAGCCAAACACUGCGUCGCUGGAACUGUGAAGCGCACAGUUCUAUUCAAGGAUUUUUGUAUUUUUUCAUAAACUAGGGGAUGGCUACUGAUAUUAAGUAUAAGGAUCAUAUAAUGUACAAGUAUAAAGAAAGAAUUAAAGGAAAAAGGACUCAUUAUAUUGAAAGUUAUCGAUAAUAUCGAGUGGAAAUAGGGGUGCUGCAGUUCCGCAGUGCCUAUACACGGGCUGCCACAGGUUCUCUUGCUGCCUAUUGUGAUUGCCGUUCUAUAAGUAGCAAUGGUAACGCGAUACAAACCCAUCGGCGCAGUUCUCUAAGCAAUGACAUUGACCAAAUCUUCAAAGACGAUGAAAAGGCAAUAUACCAGUUUAAAUUAUCUUAGUUUUGUGCCUAUAAGUUCUAAGUUUAAAUCGAGUGUGGGCAAACCUUUUACAAGAAAUGGGCCGCAUGAAACAUGGCUCAUGGUCAGGCGGGUCGCACUAUUAAAAGAAAAAUGAAGGUAAUGUUUCGUUAGGUGUGCCCUUCAGAAAGUCCCACGAGCCGCUUGAUGCCUGUGGGCCGCGGGUUGCCCACGAGUGGUUUAAACCACCCACUAGAAACGAUUUUGACUUUUAUUUCCUUCAGGUCGAUGAAAAUAAGUACAAAAAUAUAUACUGAGUACGAUUUCAUCAAGUGUAUCCUAAAUAAAAAUUGGCUUCAUGCCUACACCGCCCACCCUAACACAUACAAAAAAAAAAAUCAAUAUAUAAAGUUUGUGGCAGCUGCUUUGGUGCGACAAUCAGUUUUCAUAAACCGAGUCUUUGACCUGGUUUCCAUUCUAUUUGAAAAUUUUCGCGUACACCGUUAUUGCUUAAAAAAAAAUAACACCGAAAAUUUUAAUAAAGCGUAAUUCAUAUUUUUCGAAUUUCUCCUCCUUAAACAAAAUCUGAAGGCUUUAAUGCUUAUAUAAAACAUCAUUAUUUGAAGUACAAAAGCGGUAGAAUGUCGAACGAUAUGUUCUUACACCAUUGUACUUUACACACCCACACCUAUCUUUUAACCUUAAAUUUUAGCUGUAGUAGACUUUACCUUUCAACUCUUCCACCUUGAGGGUGUCUGUGAGAAAAUGAGCACUGGUUAUUCAUUCAACUAUACCCAUCUCUUGCAAAUGUAUAGUCUUGUGCCAUCCAGCAACAAGGAUUGAAUAAAACCACAAUAAUGUGUAUUUUAUAUACAAAAUUUCGCCCACGAAUCCAAGAAUAUACCUUUCACCACCCGAAACAAUUUAUGGAUCGUAACCCCAAAAUUUGAAAACGCUGCUAAAGAUCUAUUUUGCCUUUUAUAGAUUUAUGCUAAUCGAUAUUUCGUCAGAAUAUUGAUUUUUAAUGGUUUCCUCACAAGUACAUCUUGUGAUGGCAGCAGCCUUACCACCACCAGCAGCAGCAGCAACAACAACAACAAUAGAACACACAUUUUCAUGAAUUAAAAAAAAAAUAUGAUUCAAAAUAUUUACUUGUUGGUAUUUCAUUCAAUUUUUGGUUAAAACAUUUUAAAUUGUGAAUUACGAUGGCAGCAUUGAUGACAAAGAAUGUAGGCGGUAUUAAUGUUACUGUUGGUGGUGGCUGCGGCGGAGGUAAGUGGUGAUGACGAAAUGACAGAAGUGAGAAAGAGGUUAAUUGAUGAUAAUUAUGAUGAUGAUGAUGAUGAUGAAGAUGAUGAUGGUGAUGAUGAUGACAGCGGUAAAGAAAACGACGAUGACAGUUGUAAUAAUGUUGAGUAGGAAUAAUAUACGGAUGGAUAUAAUGAUAGUAUCGUUACUGUUUUAGUCCCUGGUUAACCUCGAUCAAGAAAAACCUACAAUAAAAAUUUAAAAAACCCAUUCUGUCCAUGAUCAUCUUAUUUUCUUGUUUAUGAAGAUUUACAUUAUCUACUGUGUCCUUUAUUUAAAACAGCGGAGAUUGAUUUGAAAGUUAUUUGGCUGCUAUUUCUUGUAGGUCAAAAACGGCCACGAAUAGACUCCCUUACGAUCUCACGAAGAUUAUGGUGAUGGCAGUAGAGCUGGUGAUGACAAUAAGAUGAUGACGGCGACGACGACGACGAUGUUGCUGAUGAAGAUGAUGAAGAUGAAGAUGAUGAUGAUAAUAAAUAUGUAUAAGAUAG